rnacentral:misc_RNA from 1 species
UCUCCGUAGGUGAACCUGCGGAGGGAUCAUUACUGAGUGAGGGCCUUCGGGCUCGACCUCCAACCCCAUGUGAACCGAAACCUGUUGCUUCGGGGGCGACCCUGCCGUUUCGACGGCGAGCGCCCCCGGAGGUCUUCCAAACACUGCAUCUGUGCGUCGGAGUUUAAACAAAUUAAACAAAACUUUCAACAACGGAUCUCUUGGUUCUGGCCUCGAUGAAGAACGCAGC